AAGCAUGAUGGGGACACUGAGUUAACAGGUUAUUAAACCUCUCCCACGCCUCAGAAAAUGACUCAUCAAGUUGUUGUUCAAAUUGCAUGAUCUUAUCCCUAAGAGCAU